rnacentral:rRNA from 1 species
CCUACGGGAGGCAGCAGUGAGGAAUAUUGGUCAAUGGACGAGAGUCUGAACCAGCCAAGUAGCGUGAAGGAUGACUGCCCUAUGGGUUGUAAACUUCUUUUAUAUGGGAAUAAAACGUUCCACGUGUGGGAUUUUGUAUGUACCAUAUGAAUAAGGAUCGGCUAACUCCGUGCCAGCAGCCGCGGUAAUACGGAGGAUCCGAGCGUUAUCCGGAUUUAUUGGGUUUAAAGGGAGCGUAGGUGGAUUGUUAAGUCAGUUGUGAAAGUUUGCGGAUCAACCGUAAAAUUGCAGUUGAAACUGGCAGUCUUGAGUACAGUAGAGGUGGGCGGAAUGCGUGGUGUAGCGGUGAAAUGCUUAGAUAGCACGAAGAACUCCGAUUGCGAAGGCAGUUCACUGGACUGCAACUGACACUGAGGCUCGAAAGUGUGGGUAUCAAACAGGAUUAGAUACCCGUGUAGUC